rnacentral:rRNA from 1 species
CGAGUUUGAUCCUGGCUCAGGACGAACGCUGGCGGCGUGCGUAACACAUGCAAGUCGAACGGACCGGGAGACCGGUCAGUGGCGGACGGGUGCGUAACACGUGGCUACCAAUCCUUCGUUGGGGGAUACCCGGGGGAAACUCUGGUUAAGACCGCAUACGCUCGAUGAGAGGAAAGCCGUAAGGCGACGAAGGCUGGGGCUGCGGCCGAUUAGGUAGAUGGUGGGGUAACGGCCUACCAUGCCGACGAUCGGUAGCUGGUCUGAGAGGAUGGCCAGCCACACUGGGAUUGAGAACGGCCCAGACUCCUACGGGGGGCAGCAGUGAGGAAUCUUCGGCAAUGGGCGCAAGCCUGACCGAGCGACGCCGCGUGUGGGAUGACGCCUUUCGGGGUGUAAACCACUUUUCUGGGGGAAGAGUGAGGACGGUACUCCAGGAAUCAGCCUCGGCUAACUACGUGCCAGCAGCCGCGGUAAUACGUAGGAGGCAAGCGUUGUCCGGAAUUACUGGGCGUAAAGCGUGUGCAGGCGGCUUGAUGCGUCUCGUGUGAAAUAGUUCGGCUCAACCGAGCGGGGUCACGAGAUACGAUCAGGCUUGAGGGCAUGAGAGGCACCUAGAACUCCUGGUGGAGCAGUGAAAUGUGUAGAGAUCAGGAAGAAUACCCGUGGGGAAGCCGGGGUGCUGGCGUGUACCUGACGCUCAGACACGACCGCGUGGGGAGCAAACAGGAUUAGAUACCCUGGUAGUCCACGCCGUAAACGAUGUCCACUCGGUAUGGGGGGUAUCGACCCCUUCCGUGCCGGAGCUUACGCAGUAAGUGGACCGCCUGGGGAGUACGGCCGCAAGGCUAAAACUCAAAGGAAUUGACGGGGACCCGCACAAGCAGCGGAGCGUGUGGUUUAAUUCGAUUCAACGCGAAGCACCUUACCUGGAUUCAAUCUAUCGUGCACCAGAGGUAAUGCUCUGUCCCGCAAGGGCGCGAUGGACGGUGCUGCAUGGCUGUCGUCAGCUCGUGCCGUGAGGUGUUGGGUUAAGUCCCCUAACGAGCGCAACCCCCGGCGUCGGUUACCAAUCCGACGCAACUGCCCCGCACAACGGGGAGGAAGGUGGGGAUGAUGUCAAGUCAGCACGGCCCUUAUGUCCAGGGCGACACACACGCUACAAUGGUCGGGACAACGGGCAGCGACACGGCGACGUGAAGCGAAUCCCUUAAACCCGGCCUCAGUUCGGAUGGCAGGCUGCAACCCGCCUGCCUGAAGUCGGAGUUGCUAGUAACCGCUGGUCAGCACACAGCGGUGAAUACGUUCCCGGGUCUUGUACACACCGCCCGUCACACCACGAAAGUGGGGGACACCUGAAGCCGUGAGCGGAACCGCAAGGACCGCCAUGUCGAGGGUGGGCUUCAUGAUUGGGGUGAAGUCGUAACAGGGUA